UACAGAGGUGUCAACCGUUGUCCGGAAUUACUGGGCGUAAAGGGCGCGUAGGCGGCCUUAUAAGUCAUGUGUGAAAGCUCUGGGCUCAACCCAGGAAUUGCAUGUGAUACUGUAAGGCUUGAGUUCGGUAGAGGAGGGCGGAAUUCCAGGUGUAGCGGUGAAAUGCGUAGAUAUCUGGAGGAACACCCGUGGCGAAGGCGGCUCUCUGGUCCGAAACUGACGCUGAGGUGCGAAAGCUAGGGUAGCAAACAGG
rnacentral:rRNA from 1 species